UACGGGGGGGGCAAGCGUUGUUCGGAAUUACUGGGCGUAAAGGGCUCGUAGGCGGCCAACUAAGUCAGACGUGAAAUCCCUCGGCUUAACCGGGGAACUGCGUCUGAUACUGGAUGGCUUGAGUUCGGGAGAGGGAUGCGGAAUUCCAGGUGUAGCGGUGAAAUGCGUAGAUAUCUGGAGGAACACCGGUGGCGAAGGCGGCAUCCUGGACCGAAACUGACGCUGAGAAGCGAAAGCAUGGGGAGCGAACAGG
rnacentral:rRNA from 1 species